rnacentral:rRNA from 1 species
CUGGCGGCGUGCUUAACACAUGCAAGUCGAACGGAAAGGCCCUGCUUUUGUGGGGUGCUCGAGUGGCGAACGGGUGAGUAACACGUGAGUAACCUGCCCUUGACUUUGGGAUAACUUCAGGAAACUGGGGCUAAUACCGGAUAGGAGCUCCUGCUGCAUGGUGGGGGUUGGAAAGUUUCGGCGGUUGGGGAUGGACUCGCGGCUUAUCAGCUUGUUGGUGGGGUAGUGGCUUACCAAGGCUUUGACGGGUAGCCGGCCUGAGAGGGUGACCGGCCACAUUGGGACUGAGAUACGGCCCAGACUCCUACGGGAGGCAGCAGUGGGGAAUAUUGCACAAUGGGCGGAAGCCUGAUGCAGCAACGCCGCGUGCGGGAUGACGGCCUUCGGGUUGUAAACCGCUUUCGCCUGUGACGAAGCGUGAGUGACGGUAAUGGGUAAAGAAGCACCGGCUAACUACGUGCCAGCAGCCGCGGUGAUACGUAGGGUGCGAGCGUUGUCCGGAUUUAUUGGGCGUAAAGGGCUCGUAGGUGGUUGAUCGCGUCGGAAGUGUAAUCUUGGGGCUUAACCCUGAGCGUGCUUUCGAUACGGGUUGACUUGAGGAAGGUAGGGGAGAAUGGAAUUCCUGGUGGAGCGGUGGAAUGCGCAGAUAUCAGGAGGAACACCAGUGGCGAAGGCGGUUCUCUGGGCCUUUCCUGACGCUGAGGAGCGAAAGCGUGGGGAGCGAACAGGCUUAGAUACCCUGGUAGUCCACGCUGUAAACGGUGGGUACUAGGUGUGGGGUCCAUUCCACGGGUUCCGUGCCGUAGCUAACGCUUUAAGUACCCCGCCUGGGGAGUACGGCCGCAAGGCUAAAACUCAAAGGAAUUGACGGGGCCCCGCACAAGCGGCGGAGCAUGCGGAUUAAUUCGAUGCAACGCGUAGAACCUUACCUGGGUUUGACAUGGAUCGGGAGUGCUCAGAGAUGGGUGUGCCUCUUUUGGGGUCGGUUCACAGGUGGUGCAUGGCUGUCGUCAGCUCGUGUCGUGAGAUGUUGGGUUAAGUCCCGCAACGAGCGCAACCCUUGUUCACUGUUGCCAGCACGUUAUGGUGGGGACUCAGUGGAGACCGCCGGGGUCAACUCGGAGGAAGGUGGGGAUGACGUCAAGUCAUCAUGCCCCUUAUGUCCAGGGCUUCACGCAUGCUACAAUGGCUGGUACAGAGAGUGGCGAGCCUGUGAGGGUGAGCGAAUCUCGGAAAGCCGGUCUCAGUUCGGAUUGGGGUCUGCAACUCGACCUCAUGAAGUCGGAGUCGCUAGUAGUCGCAGAUCAGCAACGCUGCGGUGAAUACGUUCCCGGGGCUUGUACACACCGCCCGUCAAGUCAUGAAAGUUGGUAACACCCGAAGCCGGUGGCCUAACCGUUGUGGGGGAGCCGUCGAAGGUGGGACUGGUGAUUAGG